UUAAAUUGAAGAGUUUGAUCAUGGCUCAGAUUGAACGCUGGCGGCAGGCCUAACACAUGCAAGUCGAACGSUAACAGGAAGCMGCUUGCYGKUUUWCUGACGMGUGGCGGCSGGGUGCGUAUUGUCUGGGAAACUGCCUGAUGGCCGGGGAUAACUCCUG
rnacentral:rRNA from 1 species